CUUAGGCACCUGCUUGGGGGGGUCAGACACCUACAACACAACUGUCUGCUUUAUCAUUAACAGAAAUUCAAAAAUUACAAGAAGAGAAAGAAAAGCAAGAACAGAAUGAGAAACGAUUACAACUACAGCUACAGCAAAUGCAAGUUUUACAACAGACUCAAUCAAACAAAAGUUCACUAACUUGGGCACAGAGAUCUGGUAACUGCAAUGCACCUGUGAAGAGUUUGUUGGAAAUUCAACAGGAGGAAGCACAACGAAUUGCUUGGCAACAGAAACAG
rnacentral:lncRNA from 1 species